rnacentral:rRNA from 1 species
CCUACGGGUGGCAGCAGUGAGGAAUAUUGGUCAAUGGACGCAAGUCUGAACCAGCCAUGCCGCGUGCAGGAAGACGGCUCUAUGAGUUGUAAACUGCUUUUGUACGAGGGUAAACGGAGAUACGCGUAUCCGUAUGAAAGUACCGUACGAAUAAGGAACGGCUCACUCCGUGCCAGCAGCCGCGGUAAUACGGAGGAUUCAAGCGUUAUCCGGAUUUAUUGGGUUUAAAGGGAGCGUAGGCGGUCGGUUAAGUUAGAGGUGAAAUCCCGGGGCUCAACUUGGGAAUUGCCUUGGAUACUGUGCGGCUAGAGUGUAGUAGCGGUAGGCGGAAU